CGAAUUCGAAUCAAAGCUUGGCUGCACAGCACUACAACGCUGCCGGGAAUGCUCCGUCGAACGUCGGCGCAUCCAAUAUCUGAGGAAAUUGUAUCUCAAAAACCGAUGAAAAGAAAAACUACUCCGAAAUAAGUCAAAUCCAUUGCCGGCCGAGCCAAUGAAGACAACCAUUCCAAAAAGAAUUGUCUUCACACAGAUGACACCUGAAAGCUAUGGGAGAAUUAACGGCUGAUAGCACAGAGA